rnacentral:lncRNA from 1 species
GAAAAAUGAAAAAAUAGGGAAAUAUAUGUGGGUUGGAAAGACCCACAUUAAAUUAUUUUAAGAGUACUCUGAUGAUUUUUUUUCAUCUGAUUCGCAUAUUUUUGGAUAGUAAGACCAUGAUUUUCAUUCUCCACACACACAUUCAUUCCUUCUCCUCCUCCUCCUCCUCCUCCUCCUCCUCCUCCUUCUUCUUCUUCUUCUUCUUCUUCUUCUUUUAUUCUGUAAGAUGGUUUUUCAUCAUUGACAUAGAGUCAUGUGUGAAUUUUUUCUAUUUCUGUAUUUCAUGACACGUUUCUGGAAAGCUAAAAUGCCAUCAUUUAUAUAUAUUUGUUUCUUUCAUUUCACUUUCUUACACAGGCAAUUAUUUAUUACUUCUUAUCAGUGAGAAGAAAAAAAAGAGCAUGGGCUCCAGAUAGGUAUCAUUGAAACACUGACCCCCAAACAAAGCUAAAUAGAGACAGUCGUGAAACCAGAAGGUCAGGCUAAACAUGGAGGUUUCCAAUAAGCCUUGUGGGCUUGAAAGAGUUGGGACAUAUUUGCCAUCAUUCUACUGUCUGAUGUUAAUUCCAUGAAGAAGUAUUCCUGACUGUAGUGUGGGUUCAUUGUGUAAAAAUUCCUUAUUAAUACCUCAUCAACUAUUAACAUCUUAACAUAUUCACAUGGAUUCAGAGCUAAAUUCCUGAAGAACUUUAGAGAAAGGCAGAAUCUUUGUCUGAUCACCUAGAUGCAUCAGUCAGGAACAAUUCCAUUUUAGACAAAUUUCUAAUAUUCUUUGAGCCUGACAGCUGUGGAUCAAUUUUUCUCACUCACUUUCCUUUACAUAAAAGAGGUAAAAUUAAGCAGUUAUAACUUUCUGGUCCAGAAAGAGACAAAUGGACCUUUUUAUUUUAAACUGCUUCCCAGCACAUCCUUUCUAAUGUAGAUAGAUCAAACUAACAAGGAAUGAAAUUUUAAAUGCUUUCAUGUACAUUGACUGCCACUGUGGUCACUAGGGUCCCCUUUGCCAUUAGUUGGAAUGCAUUAAUCUGUUUUAGUUCUUGCCUGGUGCUGUUGAAAUCCCAAUCUGACUUCAUGGGACACUCUGGUGUUCUUACACUUGAUUAGCAGGGCACUGUGCAUGCAAAGAGAUGUGACUAUACUACCCAAUUCUGGUAAAAUGAAUCUUAUCCGUUUAAAUAUUUGGAGGUUUUGAGAUAAUACUUCCUAAAACACAAGAUUAUUCAUAAACACAUUAAACACAGGCCAAAAGAAAGGAUUAUUUUAUUUUCCUGUAUCUAAAUUUCUAGCUCAGAAAGGAAUUUAUAAUGUAAAAAAGGGGAAGUUUAAUCUAAAUGUAGAUCAGAAGUAAAUUCAAGUGUACUCAGAUAUAGUUCCUAAGAAAAUAUGUGAGUAGUGUUCUAAAUAAGAGUUUUAAAGAUUAAUGCAGAUGGAUUCAAACUAAUUUUAACUUCUUUAAAUUCAUUAAAUCUUUAUUAUAAGCACUAAAUAGGUGUACAAAUUUGAACUAACAAAAUUAAUUGUGGCUGACUUUACAUCUUUUUUGUGUUUGAAAUAUUAUGUUAGCUAUAUUAAGCAUUAUGUCUGACCGAAGUUCUUAAAAUACUGUCAACCAUAUUUAAUAAGUCAUCAGAGUGAUCUGAGAAUGUAAAGAAAAGAGAUUGUAUUGUUGAAUCAGUAGAUUUCAACUAUUAUUCCCACCAAUGUGAAGUACAAAGAACUUUGUAAAGGUGUUAUUCAAUUUACUUGUAUACUUUUGACAGUUGAUUUCAGGACUCCAAAUCUAUGCUGUGUGACGAUCAUUUUUAAGUUCAUGCUAACUAUAUCAAUAAACGUUGACAGGUGUAACAAGUGGUGUUAUAUUGGAGAUUACUUGCUUUGCUGUAGAAAAAAUACAUUUAAA